ACUACGGCCUGCUCAAUCGACCUGAAUUUCAUUGUUUUUUUGAUUCUGAGAAAACGCAAAAUGUCGCCACUUUGGCGCCACUUACCCGUUAACCGUCAAUUAAUUUUAGACCAUCAACUGUCAAUUUAUAGGUUAACAAGAAUUAGGAAACACUGGAAAUUUUGAUUUAAAUUUAUAAUAGAUGAAACCAUUAAGCUACAUGUGUACUUCAGAGGGCGUUUGCGAGAAAUAAUUCCAAAAUCAGCCCGUAAAGCCAUGGUCGGGCCUGCCCUCAACGUGGGUAAGCGUAUCGUUUUUACCUGGUUUUUCCGAGUUUGUGAGCGACUCCCACAAUACGAACGCAUUUCGAAGUGCGACAAUGAUCUCCGAUAAACCUGAAAUUUGAAAUGACAACUUAGAUUAAAGAUGGUAUAAAAUCAAAAUCAGAACUCUCGUGAGAGUUGCGCUCCAAUGGACACGACCCUUACUUCUAGAGAGACAGAAUGUAGUGAUUAGAAUCAAGACGUUAACAUUUACUUUUCCUAAGUCGGAAAAUUAUUUAAAAAGAAAAUGGUUGGCCGCACUAAAGAGAAUGAUUUUUGAAACUUCUGCUAACCAAAGCCGAAGCAUACAUUGAAACAAGCUACUUUCAUGAGAGGUCUGGACAGCUUCUUUAGUUCAUCCACAAUCGAAGCAGGGUGAAAAUAGCUGUUACAUACAGAAUCAGUUUAUAGAAGCGAAACUACUAAAUUUGGUAAAACUUUACAAAAGGCACUUCUCGAUUUCGCACAAACUGUUUGCACACAACUCUUCUAGAGCACCCCCUGGUCACCACAGCUGAUCACGUUCCUCACCUUCAAAUGUUGUGCAAAUGCUUCCUUUUGCCACAAAGAAUGUGCCCUUUUGUAUAGGUGUAAAUUUUAUUACCACGUAAGCUGUAUUGAUAAUAAUACAUCAUGGUUCAAAAAAUUUCAAACUAUCAGCACUAAGGUUAAUAGUUCGCAAAUCUAAUCAAUUAGUCACAUAUUUAAUGAAUAAAGUUUCUAUAAACUGAUCUACAAUCUUCUUUGCUGCAAUACAUAUUUUGUCUGCAGUAAUAACAAAAUAAUGUUUACAUUUACGACAUCCAACAUCUCGGUACACACGAAAUCUUGGAGCUUGUAAAUAGAGGUGGCAUAUAUUAUUUACACUAAUUUAUAACUUGAUAUUUAUAAGAUUGUAAUUUUAGAAUGUUUCUGGUAUUUAACCAAACUUACAACGCUUAAUAAUAUAAAAUAUUAUUAUGCAGAUCCUGUUCCCCGUCCAUCAAUAUUCUGAAAUAUUUCCUUUCAACCGGGCCUAUCUCUCCCAUCCUCUUUAGAAAAUUCUGAAAAAAGAUGUCACUUGAAAUUCUGGUGGUUGCAAUUGCUGCCAGAUUAGAACGUGACACUGAAUUUCAAAAGAAGUAGAAAUUAGAGAUUUGAAAACAUUUUGGAAUUGUAUGCGAAAUUACAAGAACUUGACGAAGGAAGUUGGUAAGGCAUAGAAAAACAACAAUCACUUUAUAGGGCCAAUUCUGAAUCAAACAUGUUAAAAUUUAAAGGUUACUAUGCAAAUUUGCAAUUUAACGCCAUUUAAAUUUAACAAGUUUGAUUCAGAAUUGCCUAUUAUAUACCUAUCAUUUAUUUUAAAGAGUCAGACUUUCCAAGCUUAAAAUGUACAGUUAAUAUUUCAAAUGAAAUCGAAGUUUCCCACAACUGUAGACGAUUUUAAUCAAGUAGGAGAAAUUAUACAAGAAACAAAAAAUAAUAAAGCAUUCAAUUAGUAAAUGACAUUCUCCUAUAUCUUUGAUUAAACGUUGUCAGAAAAGGAAUCCAGAAUCAAAUUUUUAAGUGAACAUAUUCAUUUUUACUUCCCGAGCGUAAGCAAAGGAAGUAUUGUAAUCGAGUCCGUCGGCCGACUCUCUACUUUUACGUUUUUUCGAUCUUUCAUGACCCCUAGAAGACGAAGAAAUAGGUCUCCCAUUUCCGUCUGUCUGUCCGUCCGUCUGUCCGUCCGUCUGUCCGUCUGCCGUCCCGGAUUUUUAUUAGACA